CAAACAUCCCACUAAGCAGACAGCUCAAGUGGGACAAAGCUUGCUAGCUGGUUCUUGUGUUAAACCCACACCAUCCUCUUUCAUGAGAGGGUGCAUUUUUUGGCUUCUGUGGCCAAACCAAAUGCAAGAAGGGCUACUAGGUCUCUGAUUUGGCUCAAACAAAUAAACUGUCUGUUACAGUGUGUCUUGUGCAUGUGGACUGUAGGAGAGGAGCACGACUUUUGGUUCUUGAUCUUUGCCUGUGAGCCAGACAUCUAAACUCCCUUCAUCAAGCUCCCAAGAUUUUUGCUUAUUUUUUAAAGGAGAGAUGUGAGUAAAACUGCCUGGAAGCUAUGCCAUGCCUUCUGAAAGGGAAGUAAGCUUUGGAAUUCAGGUAGGCUGUGAAACCACACAGACAAAUAUCCAUCACUGGAAAACACCACUGAUCUACAGACAAGCUUGGUUCUGACGGACUCUAUUGUGCCCCGCACCAGACUCCAGAACAUCUGUGUCAUGGGAUGACACCUCUCUGCUGGGGAAGUCUGUUCAAAUUUCUGUUCAGAUCCUCAGGUGCCAACUCAGUCUCUGCUGGAUAUUGUACUGGGCAGCUGCUGUGGAACUGGCUGGCUCAUCUCGGAGCUCUGGGACUGUUAAGCCUGGAGAGAGUUUUGUUUCUAGUGCCCAAAGUGUCAGCACAACUUAAGCUUUCUAGAGUGUCCCGAG
rnacentral:lncRNA from 1 species